rnacentral:rRNA from 1 species
AUUGAACGCUGGCGGCAGGCCUAACACAUGCAAGUCGAACGAGUGGCGGACGGGUGAGUAAUGUCUGGGAAACUGCCUGAUGGAGGGGGAUAACUACUGGAAACGGUAGCUAAUACCGCAUACCCUCAGAUAUGCCCAGGUGGGUUUAGCUUGUUGGUGUGGGAACGGCUCACAAAGGCGACGAUCCCUAGCUGGUCUGAGAGGAUGACCCGCCACAUUGGAACUGAGGCACGGUCCAGACUCCUACGGGAGGCAGCAGUGGGGAAUAUUGCACAAUGGGCGAAAGCCUGAUGCAGCAAUGCCGCGUGUAUGAAGAAGGCCUUCGGGUUGUAAAGUACUUUCAGCGGGGAGGCGUUAUCCGCAGAAGAAGCACCGGCUAACUCCGUGCCAGCAGCCGCGGUAAUUC